rnacentral:lncRNA from 1 species
AAAACCCAAAACACUGUGGGGUCUGGAUCAAGAAGUCCCCAGGAGGGGACAUAGUGAGGUAGGGGUAGAUAGACCAUGAGCAACCCUGCAUGUGGGUGUCCCGGAGAGACAGGUACCGUACAGAACAUUUUUGCUUUAUGGAUAAUUCCAAAUGAACCUGUUUGGGGUUUUCUCCCCUUCUAAAGUCCAUUUUCCUGGGUAUUGGGAUGGACCCCAGAGGUGGGCAAAAGUUUGUGUUGGGACACACAACCUUUGUGGAAGUUGUACCUUUUGCUGGCUCUUUGAAAUGAUUGCUUACAACAUUUUGCUUUCAAGCUCUGCUCAAAAGCUUUUUUUAAAAAAAACAAAAAACAACCCUCUAUUUCUAAUCUGCUAAACCUUUCAGCGGCAGUCAUUUUUUUCUGUAUUUUUUUCCUUCCCACACUCCCCACCAUGCAUAUUAGAUCUGACGUGAUGACCUGCUCUUUAUUCCUUCCGGGGUCUAUGUAUUCUCACAACAGCUCUCCAGCCUGAUAUGUUGAGCCAGCAACUUUUUUUUUUUUUUCAUAAAUUUCCCCAGAGACAAUGUGCAUUUCAUAGAUUUUUCAGUCAUUUGUUUUCUUGAAACUUGUGAUCAUGGACUUACUGUGCUCGCUGAUGGUCACUGUGCCACCUUGGAAACGUGGCUCUGGGCAGAAAGGGUAUGUUUGAGUCAGCUUUUUCAUUUCCAUCAUCAAAAGACCCUAUAAGAAGCAUGUAGAGGAGGAAGACUUUAUUCUGGCUCAUGAUUUCAGAAGUGCAGUCCAUGGUCAGCCACCUCCACUUCUCUGGACCUGCGGUGAGCCUGAACAUCCUGGUGGAAGGGUGUGGCACAGGAAAGCAGCUCAGAACGUGGCCACCAGAAAGCAGAGAGCUCCACUCUCCAAGGACAACAUAUGAAUCCCCAAGACAGGCCCUCAUUCACCUACUUCCUGCAGUCACGCCGUAACUGCCUACAGUUACACCCAGUUAACCCAAAUCAGUGGAUCGAUCCACCGAUCAAGUUAAGGUUCUCGUAAUUCAGUCAUUUCACCUCUGAACAUUCUCGUAUUGUCUCACACAGGAGCUUUUGGAGGGACACCUCAUGUCUAAAGCAUAACAGGGUGAUUCUUCUCCACAUUUGGAUUAGUAACACCAUCAGGAGACACAGUACUGAUCAGGUUGACAUUUCUCUUCUUUUUUCAAAUCCCAUGUCAUUCUUUUUCUCAUAUACCCACUUCACUCUGUCUCUUGGCUUUUCUUGGCUUUCCCAUAAAUAUCUUCUAAAAAUCAACUCAGAGCCUCAUUAGAGGAAGGAUUCCCUCUUAUCCUCCUCUGUCCCUAGAGCUCUGAGGUUGCUUCCUGCUGAGUGAGCUUGCUGUUGUUUAGUGGACCUCUCUUGUGCCCCUGAGACCACAGCCACGGUGCCACUGUAGGGGUAAGGGGGCUUCUUCCGUAGUGUACUGACAGCUCUUGUAGUGAUCAGAUUCUGGAGUCAGAAUGGAGGAUGAGAAAUAGACAACGGUAAAUGAAAGAAAACCUAUGAAUUGUGCCCUACCUAUGUGACACCUGCUACCACACUUCUUUAUCACUUACCUGGCAUUGACUACAGGAAGUCACAUGGCCUCUUCUAAGCGACAGGGGCAAUGAUGUGCAACCUCAUCUUCGCCCAGAAGGUAGAGGGACAUAAUGUCCACGGACAGCCUUAGUCACUACCCUGAUGAGCUGAGGCAGAGAAUCCCCACACCAUGGCUCCUCCUGUCUAAUGGAAGAGACAUGAAGCAAGGCACCAUGGUAAUCAGGGCAUGAUGCCAAGCAGAGGGGUGUGGGUCCUGGGGGACUUGAUCAUGGAGGACCCAAAGGUCAUAGAAAUUAGCUCGGGGAGAAGGAGAGACGGUGGGGAGUCUGGCCUGUUCCAGAAGGGAAAGGCCACCCGAUUAAGUGGUUAAAGGUGGGAGAAAGACUUGUAUGAUAUAAUGCAGGAAAUGGAGGUGAUGGCUUUCAUUUGUUUUGUGAAAUAAAUGACCGACCCUUACAUUCUUUGAAGUGUGAGAAUGGUGGUUUUGUUUUUCUGAAGUUGAAGAGGACCGUUUCAGUGGAGGGGGAUAGUGAAAGGAUUGGGUUGACCCCCAGGGUCAAAGGGAAUGAUGUUACCUGGGGAGAGAAGGAAGUCCAGUUGGGGCCCAGUGAAGGCCCUUUGUGGGAACGUUCUCUUUAAUUCGACCAGUGACUAGAAGAGAACAUAAAUUUUAGAUUGUGGCGAAGAGGCCACAGAGUGCUGAACAUGGGGACCUCAGCUUUUUUACCCAUGU